UCUCUGGUGGUCCAGUGGUUAGGACUCUGCUUCCAAAGCAGGGGAUGCAGGUUUGACCCCUGGUCAGGGAA
rnacentral:tRNA from 1 species